rnacentral:siRNA from 1 species
AAUGACGGAUCCGCCUGUUACG